rnacentral:sRNA from 1 species
UGAAAAGUCACUGUGGAUCUGUGACUCAAAACAAGAAGAAGAAGAGAGAGAAAGAGAGAGAAAACGAUACACACACUUGCGGCAAUGGUGCAAUGGUGACUCCACAGAUUCCUGAGUGAAUUUUAGUGUAUUCGUGAAACUUCGGUCCUUGACGUCCAUAGCAUAAUUUAUGGUGAUGAUAAUCUAUGACCCUAGUUUGUUCUCAGUCAUUUAAUCGACAUGACUGGACUGUUCACUCUUGAAAGAACUUCUGUCUUGAUUGGUUGGAGUUUUUGAAUCUGAUACGUAAAAUGGAUGUGCACUCUUCUUCCGGGUUUAUUCCGAUGCUCCAAAUACUGGUUUGUUCAUGGAAUGGACUUAUCUAAAAGGGUGCAUUUUAGAGAAUAAUGAGCAAUAAUGACAGUGGAUUUGAAAAUCAAUCGAUGUGUUUUUAACAGCAUAACCUAUUUUACAUGGGCAUGUAUUUUAUCAGUCACCAGGGUUGAUUCUGAGAUCAGUGGCCAUUUGUCUUCUAAAUCAUCUCUCCACACAUCAGAUCAGAAGAGACAAAUCUCUUGAUUCACAUGUGUAUCAAAUAACAACCGGGAAGAAGUGUCUACGUUCAUUUUAAACAUUUGUUAGUAUUUUUAUUACUUGGAGUUUUUUGAAGAAGCUCAAGGGAGUGCCUUACACUAAACACGUCAUUUUCUUCACCAUGUGGUCUAAAGGUCUCUGCUUGUUUCUUUCCUGAAAAGGUAUUUGGAAUGUAGGUUUCCAAGUGGUAGGCAGCACACUACACUUCACCUAGUUGUACUGUAUGUAGGUCUUUGCUGCGUGAAUGUCAAUAAAAGGUACUCUUGAAGAGAGUCCAAGUUGCAAGGGAAUCAUUUAGUUGGUUUUUAAGGGAAUCUGGUAUCAAUUUUCCCCUAUAUAUGUUGAAUGAAAUCGAAGUAAACCAGAAUCGGAUAAGGCUAUUUGGGUAUUAUGCGCAGCACAAAUUUUGAUUCUAAGAACUGUGUGUACAUAUUGAGUAAGUAGGGUAAUAAUGUGGGGAAGCGUCAUCAAUCCAAGGAUAUUCUGACGUUUCAUCACUUGUUCGUAUUCCCUGAUUCACAAUUUUCUCAUGCACUACCAUUUAACAAUUAGCAUUCU